rnacentral:rRNA from 1 species
GACGAACGCUGGCGGCGUGCUUAACACAUGCAAGUCGAACGGAAAGGCUCCAGCUUGCUGGAGUACUCGAGUGGCGAACGGGUGAGUAACACGUGGGUAAUCUGCCCUGCACUCUGGGAUAAGCCUGGGAAACUGGGUCUAAUACUGGAUAUGACCUUUCUCCUUAUGGGGUUUGGUGGAAAGUUUUUCGGUGUAGGAUGAGCCCGCGGCCUAUCAGCUUGUUGGUGGGGUGAUGGCCUACCAAGGCGACGACGGGUAGCCGGCCUGAGAGGGUGAUCGGCCACAUUGGGACUGAGAUACGGCCCAGACUCCUACGGGAGGCAGCAGUGGGGAAUAUUGCACAAUGGGCGGAAGCCUGAUGCAGCGACGCCGCGUGAGGGAUGACGGCCUUCGGGUUGUAAACCUCUUCCAGCAGGAACGAAGCGUAAGUGACGGUACCUGCAGAAGAAGCACCGGCUAACUAUGUG